ACUACAUGAAGCUGGAAUCGCUAGUAAUCGCGGAUCAGAAUGCCGCGGUGAAUACGUUCCCGGGUCUUGUACACACCGCCCGUCACACCAUGGGAGUCGGAAAUGCCCGAAGUCGGUGACCUAACUGAAAGGAAGGAGCCGCCGAAGGCAGGUCUGGUGACUGGGGUGAAGUCGUAACAAGGUAAC
rnacentral:rRNA from 1 species